GUUCUUUGAUAUGCUGAAUCUAACCAUGUAUUUAGAUUUUUUAUUUUUGGGCCCCGUUAUCAACUUUGUCCACAUUGAGGUCAAAAGGGUCCAAAAUUAAACUUUGUUUGAUUUCAUCAAAAAUUGAAUUAUUGGGGUUCUUUGAUAUGCCGAAUCUAACCGUGUAUUUAGAUUCUUAAUUUUUGGUUCCGUUUUCAAAUUGGUCUACAUUAAGGUCCAAAGGGUCCAAAAUUAAACUUAGUUUGAUUUUAACAAAAAUUGAAUUCUUAGGGUUCUUUGAUAUGCUGAAUCUAAACAUGUAUUUAGAUUUUUGAUUAUGGGCCCAGUUUUCAAGUUGGUCCAAAUCGGGGUCCAAAAUUAAACUUUGUUUGAUUUCAACAAAAAUUGAAUAUAUGGGGUUCUUUGAUAUGCUGAAUCUAACCAUGUAUUUAGAUUUUUGAUUUUUGGGCCCCGUUAUCAACUUUGUCCACAUUGAGGUCAAAAGGGUCCAAAAUUAAACUUUGUUUGAUUUCAUCAAAAAUUGAAUUCUUGGGGUUCUUUGAUAUGCUGAAUCUAACCAUGUAUUUAGAUUUUGGAUAUUGGACCAUAAUAGGUGAAUGUCCAAUUUAAAAUUUUUAAGUUCUUAGACCACAUUCAAUCUGUGUUAGAAACCUAUGCUGUGUCAAAUAUUUAAUCACAAUCCAAAUCCAAAGCUGUAUCAAGCUUGAAUGUUGUGUCCAUACUUCCCCCAACUGUUCAGGGUUCGACCUCUGCGGUCGUAUCAAGCUGCGCCCUGCGGAGCAUUUUAUUGAUAAU